GCAGGCCCUUGUUGAGCAAGUGCGAGCUGCCCAUCGAGAGGCGCGAGCGGCCGCGGGCCCCGACCACUCCGGCGCGCUGCGCCGCCGCGAGCCCGGCGCGUGGGGCGGCCUCGGCGCCGUCCGCUGCUCCGCCCGCCCGCCUGCGCCUGGCCGCCGCCGUGCCGAGUCUCCGCCGCGCCGCUGAGCCGCGCUCCGACGACCGCGCGGGCGGGGACACGGCGGCGCGCGCGGGCGGGGCCUCGCGGUUGGUCUCCUGGUUCCCAGCGCGGGCGGCGCACGGACUCACGCGGGCGGCUCAGGGCCCGCCCGGCCGGGACGCGGCUGCGGGGCGGGGCGGGGCGGGAGCCUGGCGGGAAGCUCGCGGGGCUGCAGCCCGGCGGAGGCCCCGGGCCUGGUGUUCCGCACGUUCUAAACCGCCUGUCCCCGAGGAAGUCGGGCAGGGUCGGGCCGGACUCAGCGCCGCUGGCGGGAGCGCCGUCCGCCCCGAGGACCCUGCGGGCCCGGAAGCCGAGACAGGGCCGCCCACGUCAGCGCCUGGCGCGGGCCCGAACGUAAAUGGCGCUCCUCCGCGCCGCAGCCGCAGCCGCCCCGCUCCCUUCCCGCUCCGCCAGCUGCCGCCCUCCCGCGCUCGCUUCUCGCCCCGCGGCCUGGCCCGUGCGCCUCCGAGGCUGGCCAGGGGCACCGAGGCCGCGGGCCCCCCAUCGCCCCCACCCGAGCCCUGAUUUACCGUCCGAGAGCCGGCGGCACAUGGGACCCCGAGAGGAGAAGCGCGCCUGCCCCAGUGCGUCCCCAGGCGGGGGAGCCCCGACUCCUGGAGGGACCGCGUCCUGCCCGGCCCGGGAAGUUCAGGGCUGGAGAACCCCUUCCCCGACCCCAUUUCUCUUUUAACAAGAGUAGGGUUUGUAGCUAACCAACGUCCUGACAGCUCAGCUCUGCUUUCCCUUUAAGCAUUAAUAUCAAAGCCCUGCCUGCUACCGGUGAAGCCCCGACCCGGGAGGGCCCGAAAGUCCCUUCAGGGAGAGGCCGCACUGGGCCUGCUCACCCAGGGGCUGCCCCUGCAGACUCUCCCGAGGGGCCCAGGGAUAUUCCUCGCGCCGCGAGUGGACGCUUCCAUCCACCCCAUGGGGAGGGCCUCUGCGCGUGGCUACUCUGAGCCCUCUGGAAUGCCGAGAUAGUUGCAUAAUUUCAGAAACCACGGCAUGGAGACGGAAUGAUGCAGACUCCUAUCCGCGAGAUACCUGCUGUAAUUUCGCUGUGGUUCGUGAGGACGCGUCCUGGGCUGCCCUGAGAAGCCUACGUCUCCCCUUCGAGGCCCGGGAAGACCUCCAACCCCGCUGACAAUGCUGGGCCCUCAGCCAGACCUGCCCUGCGUGCCACGUUCUGUUCUAAGAUCGGGCUGCCGAGCUGUGGCCUGGAGGAAACCUGGUGGGGCUGCCAUGAGCAGCAAGCUCAGUCCAGAAGAACAGUUCCUCUCCAGGAUCCACUUCCUGCGCACUUUUAUGUGCAGUGUAGCUGGAGCAGAGCUCCCCGGAAUUCCACAGGCAACUGAGAACGGAGAGGGAUGCAGGCCAGCCAGGGAUCCAGCGUCUUCCCCAUCGUCACUCUCCAUGGCCUCCGUCUACACACAGUGUUCGUCUGCACAGCUUGUCAGCGCGUUAUCAUGACUUCUAUUUGGCACCGGCCCGUCUGUCCACUGUCCUGGCUUGUUCCAAGCGCUGCCUUCUCCAACUGGGGUCCUGGCUGCAGAGCUGUCUGCUCCCCACGUUGGGCAACUCCAGCCAAGAUUCCUACACCCAAAUGUGACCGUGUUGCUCACGAAGAAGGCUCAGCUUUGCGUGUGCCCAGCCGUGUGCACAGCUCGUCCCAACUCCUGCGGGUGGCACCUGCCUCUCCCACCUCCAGUCUUUCCCCUGUGAUGAGCAGAUGACCACCGCCCUCCAGGGUCAGCGUUUGGCUGUUUGUGUGCCUGCCCACCCGCCUCCCUGUGCCUGGGCCUGCCCUGUGCCUGCACACAGGAGUGGCUCAUGGCGUUUGCCCUACACGGAUGGGCUGUCCUGGGAGCUACUGGACAGUCACCUUGGUGGGAAUGCCAGAGGCAUGGGCAUUAGGUCCCCCCGGCCAGCCUCCGUUGCCACAUGGGCUAUUUUUGUCCAUCGCGUGGGACAACCUAGUAUUGGGGGAAAACUCAGUCCACUCUAAAGAAGCAUCGGCGUUUUGGAUGGACGAAUGCUGCUUCAUGCGACUCCAUGUCAAUGGACUAUUUUAUUCAACUCGGGUAUUUAUGAGUGUCUCCUCUGUGCCAGCCACGUGUGAAAGAAGAACUCCAAGUUACUGGACACCAGGACAAACCAGGUAGAUCACUGCAUCCGGUUCCUCCUCUUUCUGCCGACUCUCCCGGGCAACCGUUCUGAUUCCUGGCAUGGAGUUGGGGGCGAGCUCAUCAGUACCCAGAGCGCCUGGUGUGCAGCCAAAGGCCCCCAUUUUAUUAGUCGGUGUGUUCAGUAUCACGCUCAAGACAAGGGCCAACCUAUUACUUCACACACCUCAAAUACAAAAAGUGCCUGGGAACGUCGAUGAGGUAUUAAAGGAAACCACUGGUCUUGUCAGUCAUGUACACACAGAAAAAAAAACCAGUCAUUUUUAUUUUUAUUUUUUGAGACAGAGUUUCGCUCUUGUUGCCCAGGCUGGAGUGCAAUGGUGCAAUUUCAGCUCACUGCAAUCUCUGCCACCCGGAUUCAAGCAAUUCUCCUGUCUCAGCCUCCCGAGUAGCUGGAAUUGCAGACACCCAUCACCACGCCCAGCUAAUUUUAUGUAUUUUUAGUAGAGAUGGGGUUUCACCAUGUUGGUCAGGCUGGUCUUGAACUCCUGACCUCAGGUGAUCCACCCACGUCAGGCUCCCAAAGUGCUGAGAUUACAGGCAUGAACCACUGUGCCCAGCCGAAAACAACCAAGAAUUUUUUAACAAUAAAAUGACCAGCAAGUAAACUUGAAACAAAAAUGGACAAAUAUCUAAAAUAUUUUUAAAUGUAUGUAUUUUAAUUGGCAAAUAAUACUUGUAUAUAUUGUUUACAACUUGUUUUAAAGUAUGAAUACAUUGUGGAAUGGCUAAAUCAAGUUAAUUAACAUGCAUUAACU
ensembl:lncRNA CTBP1-DT CTBP1 divergent transcript